rnacentral:rRNA from 1 species
UACAGAGGUGGCAAGCGUUGUUCGGAAUUACUGGGCGUAAAGGGCGAGUAGGUGGCCAUCUAAGUCAGACGUGAAAUCCCCCGGCUUAACCUGGGAACUGCGUCUGAUACUGGACGGCUUGAGUAUGGGAGAGGAACGUAGAAUUCCAGGUGUAGCGGUGAAAUGCGUAGAUAUCGAGAGGAACACCUGCGGCGAAGGCGGGUUGCUGGGCCGACACUGACGCUGAUGUGCGAAAGCUAGGGGAGCGAACGGG